UGGUAGGAGACGAAAGCAUUAUCAAUCUUUACCACAUCGUUUACUUUUAUUUUUUAUAUCCUUCAAGUAUUUUAUUGACCUCUAUUGGUUCUAUUUGUUGAAAAAGUAAGUCUGGUGGGAUAAAGAGGGUAAUAAAAAUGUUGGAGAUCUCUCUUGUAUUCAAGAAAAUAUUAUUCCAAAUUUAGAUCUCUGAAAAGAAAAUGUAGUUGAAUUAAAACACCAUUUGAAGGAAGACAUUAAUUUUGAGUUGGUUUCUGAACCAGAAUGGAGUACUUGUUCAGCGGUACCAGCUUGCUCCUGGAAAGGACCUGUAGCCUGAAUGGUAUUUGUUUAAUACAAAAACAGAAUGAAUUGAUGUCUACUUUUUGAAGGAUUUAGAGGUUGUAGACUAUGGAAUAACGACCAGUUAUCUGUGAGAAGAAAUUCACCUGACCAACCUUUAAAAAGCCUAAGAUCCUGAGAAUAAGAAAACAGGUAAAGAUAUUAAGGAACGACAAUAUUCUAGGUAAAAUGAUAGAAGAUAUUCCAAAAUCAGUUAAUUAAGUAGUUGUACAUAUUUUAUGUGAGAAAGCUGUUGAAAAAUCCUUCAUGAAAUAUUUAAAAUAUCUGGAAAUAGCCAUAGUGAUCUAUGAAGGACAUCAGACAAUCAAGCUAAGAAAAAAUUAUCUAUGAAAAAGCAGUCAAUCCAGGAAGUAAGUUGAAUAACAAACCAAACCUGGGUGGCCAAAGUAAAGAACAAGAGUGGAACAUGACCAAGAAAGUCAUAUUCAUGAAUCCCAAAGGCAUCUUAUUCAUCAAUGUAGAUGCUGAUAUUUCUUCCAAAACAACAAUGAACUAUCUUGUAUGGAGAUCAAUGGCAUAUGUUCUGUUACUAAGGUGUUAUAGUCCAACCUUGUUGGAUCCCCUUCGAAGCUGAAUUUAAGCUAGAAGCUUUCACUCAAACAAAGUAACUCGAUAAAUCAUUUACUCAAACUCAUCUUAACAGUUUGUUUCUCUGCCUUUCGUCAAUCUGCGAGUAAAUCCCGAGUUUCAGCAAAGUAUAACAAAAAGUUUCCUAUCUUGGGAAUCAAGCAGUAAAACAUCCUUCAUCCGCUUCACAAAUGCGAAAAUCUCAUUUGUGUCCAAGUUGGUCUGCUGUGGCUGAAGCGUUGGCAGUAUCCUAAUAUGACAUGCGGUAUUUCCCCGCCAGACGCGUGGAGGAGCUACGGUAUACGAAUAUUUUCAAAGUGGAUUUACUACCUAAAGACAUCAUUUGCACCCCCAUAAACUAGUUAGGGAUAUUAGGAUACUGCCAGGAAAUUUACAGAACAAAUAUGCAAUUGGCACAAUAACUUUUAUCUUUAACCUAAGUUAAAAAACUAAAAACCCUAGGCAAAAAUUAAGAAUUCUCGUUCAAUUUGGAAUAGAAAUUAUGUAUUUUUAACUAAAUCUAGAUUUUUGCCAAA